AUGGGGCAGUCUAAUUAAGGGGGCAGUGUGACUGCCCCCGCUCCUACCCGCACGCGCUAAUUCCCACCCCGCAACGGCCGCACGCCCCGCCGUCCGCCGCGCGCCCACGCGCCCCUAGACGCCGCCGCGAAAUCACCGCUCCCGCACGCCCACGCCAGCGAAUCUCGCACGCCCGCAACGGCCGCAUCCACCGCACGACCUGCCGCACGACCCGCCGUCCGCCGCUUCCCCCCAAUCCCGCAAAGGCCGCCCGCGCCAGCGAAAACCCCGUCCUCCGCACGCCCCCGCCGCGAAACCAGCCAUCGCCCGCCGCUCCUCAAGCUCAUCCGUGAAACCUCCGCACACCAUCCGCGCGUGCCCUCGCCCCGCCCAGCUGCUACCUCCGUGAAAUCUCUCGCCCAGCUGCUACCUUCGCGCACUCUACACCGUCUUGCCGACGCUGUCAUGCCCGCGUCGUCUUGUUGGGCACCAGAUCCGCGCUGACAUCCGCGCCCAGAUCCAGCGCACAUGAUGCCCCCGCCUCCCCCGAUCCGCGCGUGCCCUCGCCCAGCUGAGCGCGUCGCAAAAUCUGCGCCGACAUCCACGCGGGCAAACCGCCGCACACCUACAUCAAAUAGCCGGCCUUCGCAGACCUCCUAUGGAAGCAUCGUGAAAUACGGCACCGCGAAAGCUCCGCGACCUAUACAGCUUCCUGUCGGUGUUGGUGUCGGUCUGUAAAGCUCCGCGACCUAUACAGCUUGGUGUUCCCCUACACGUUCACCCAUCCUCCUGCCUCUCGGGAAUAAAAAGCAUCUGCUUCUUCAUAUAGCAGAGGUUAGUUGCGCAGGCAUAGCCACCACUGGGAGGAAUCAUUGAUCGUUCGGUGGCUACAAGGUGAGACAACUGUGUUACCAGUUUUUGUGUGUUGCAACAUUUCCCACAUUCCAGUUACGGGUGACAUGCGUAGUUGGGAUAAUAGCAGAGGUUAGUUGCGCAGGCGUAGCCACCACUGGGAGGAAUCGUUGAUCGUCCCAUGGCUACAAGGUGAGACAACUGGGUUACCAGUUUUUGUGUGUUGCAACAUUUCCCACAUUCCAAUUAUGGGUGACAUGCGUAGUUGGGAUAAAACGUAGUUGGGAUAAAACUGCAUAAAGAAGCAUGUAGAAAGGGAAUGCGUACUAAUUUUCUAUGCAUUCUUUUUACUGUAGGUCUUAAUUAUUUUGUCACUGGUAGGGAUCUUCUGAUGCAAGCUAAUUAUUUUUGCUUCUGAUCCUUGUUCCGAGUUGUUUACUCUAUAGCUACAAUUUAGUGGUUCAGAAAUUUAGUGAAAAAAUAAUUGAGACCUUUGAAUCACAUUACCUGGCAUCAUAUAUGUAGUGUUCAAUGUUUGUAAUUUACUGUCAGUAUGUUAAUUUAAGCCGACUGUGUUAUCUUGCAUAACCCACUAACUUCUCAAGCAAAUUGCCCCAUCUUUGCCACAAUGCUCAAUGCACUUCAUUCAUGGACGUCCACUUGAGAAUUGACGACUGAAACUGAAAAUACGUAUUUUGUGGACAAUUUAGAGGUUCAGGAAUAAAGAUGCCGUCUAUAUCAGUUAUUGGGAUCGUCCGUUAGCAGUUAUUGGACUACAAUAGCUCAAAAUUGCCAAUGAAAAAUCACAAUUUGAGGUUGAAUGCAGUGUCAUAUUUUAUUGGGGUUAAAUACUGUACAACCUGUUUCAGAUUUUAUUGAAGUUAAUAACUGCAAUUCAGUAUGUUAGUCUCUGGAGAAUAAUGUUUUUGUGUUUCAGUGAACUCCGUGUAUUUUUUGUCAUGUGUAUUUUGUGAUGUGUUUCUGGGGAAUAAGCUUGGGGUGGAUCCGAAUUCCGACAGAGCUUGCACUCUGUGCUUAUGGAAAUGUGUAAGCAGAUGGAGAUCGAUUGCCACUCUGGAGCAUUUGGGCAGUCAUCCACAAGCUCAUUUGGCCACAACUUAUUUGGAGCUUCAUAGGGAUGCCAACUGGUAGGGCUAUUUCAGCAUUUUAGCAUGCUCAGUUUACUGGUAGAGUUGUGAGUGAGCUUCCAUGGUACGCUAGAGCUACCAUUGACCCUGCUAUGUAGAAGCGGGGUGCCGGUGGUGAUAAAUCAAGAGAAGCAACAUGCACAAAAAUAUAUGGACAAAGCGACUUGUGGUUACAAUAAAAGUUAUCCGCAAUAGGCAAACAUGACAGUCAGAGGGGUAUGGAUUUGUUGAGUUCUUUUCUCAUGCAUUAACAGAAAAGGCUCUUCAUAAUUUAUAUGGUCAUGUGAUGCCAAACACUGACCAGGCAUCUAAGUUGAACUAGACAUCAUAUCAAAAGGUGAUGGAACUGAAGGCAACCAGCUUAAGCCUAUGAUUGAUGUGGAAAUGAUUAAUGUGACUGCAGCUUAAGCCUAAUAAUACUCCAGCUUCAAAAAUAUUGAAAGAAGUCAAGCUGUCUCAAGAAAUACUGUGAAUGCUAUCAGGGAGGUGUUGGAUGCUCCAGCAACUGCAGAUGUGAGAGUAGCAAAAAUGCUUUUGGCAGAAGAGAUGGUGAGCAUUUAGCGUUUCAAAUUUAGGAACAUGUACAGUCCGUGAGUCCCAUCCCGGGACAUCUUUUCCGACUUACUAUAUUAUGAUGCUAAUAACUUCUGAUGUGUCCCUUGAAAUAAUAGAAGUUCAGUGGUGUUCUCAUUAAAAAGUGUUUCUAUGCACUGAACAUCAAUCAGAUUACCUUGCCUAUGAUUUUAAUUUGGAUUAGACACCACUGUAAUUCGUAAACAUGACACUCUGGAUAUUUUGGUAGCGAGUUUCCUUAAAAUAGGUGUAUCAGGACUUCUAUUCUAUGUAAAAAGGUGAAAGGUUCAUGUUCAAACAAAAUUCUUCUAUGACAGCAUAGGUGGUGGUUGUAAAGAAAAAACAUCAGAUUUCAGAGAGCAUCCUUUUGUUUUUGCAA